rnacentral:tRNA from 1 species
AACAAUUAAGCUAUUUAAGCAUUUCAUUUACACAGAAAAAACCCCUACAUAAAGC